GAGAUAGAUUUCAUAUGUUUUGAAAACAUAUUUAGAAGUAUAAUUGCUUCCUAUUUUU
rnacentral:tRNA from 1 species